rnacentral:rRNA from 1 species
CGGGGAAUCUUAGACAACGGGGGCAACCCUGAUCCAGCCAUGCCGCGUGAGUGAUGAAGGCCUUAGGGUCGUAAAGCUCUUUCGCCUGUGAUGAUAAUGACAGUAGCAGGUGAAAGAAACCCCGGCUAACUCCGUGCCAGCAGCCGCGGUAAUACGGAGGGGGCUAGCGUUGUUCGGAAUUACUGGGCGUAAAGCGCGCGUAGGCGGAUUAGAAAGCUGGGGGUGAAAUCCCGGGGCUCAACCUCGGAACUGCCUCCAAAACUGCUAGUCUAGAGUUCGAGAGAGGUGAGUGGAAUUCCGAGUGUAGAGGUGAAAUUCGUAGAUAUUCGGAGGAACACCAGUGGCGAAGGCGGCUCACUGGCCUCGAUACUGACGCUGAGGUGCGAAAGUGUGGGGAGCAAACAGGAUUAGAUACCCUGGUAGUCCACACCGUAAACGAUGAAUGCCAGUCGUCGGGUAGUAUACUAUUCGGUGACACACCU